AUUGAACGCUGGCGGAAUGCUUUACACAUGCAAGUCGAACGGCAGCACGGACUUCGGUCUGGUGGCGAGUGGCGAACGGGUGAGUAAUGUAUCGGAACGUGCCCAGUCGUGGGGGAUAACGUAGUGAAAAUUACGCUUAUACCGCAUACGAUCUGUGGAUGAAAGCGGGGGAUCGCAAGACCUCGCGCGAUUGGAGCGGCCGAUAUCAGAUUAGGUAGUUGGUGGGGUAAAGGCCCACCAAGCCAACGAUCUGUAGCUGGUCUGAGAGGACGACCAGCCACACUGGAACUGAGACACGGUCCAGACUCCUACGGGAGGCAGCAGUGGGGAAUUUUGGACAAUGGGCGAAAGCCUGAUCCAGCCAUUCCGCGUGCAGGAUGAAGGCCCUCGGGUUGUAAACUGCUUUUGUACAGAACGAAAAGGUUUCUACUAAUACUAGGAGCUCAUGACGGUACUGUAAGAAUAAGCACCGGCUAACUACGUGCCAGCCGCCGCGGUAA
rnacentral:rRNA from 1 species